AUUGAACGCUGGCGGCAGGCCUAACACAUGCAAGUCGAACGAGUGGCGGACGGGUGAGUAAUGUCUGGGAAACUGCCCGAUGGAGGGGGAUAACUACUGGAAACGGUAGCUAAUACCGCAUACCAUCGGAUGUGCCCAGAUGGGAUUAGCUUGUAGGUGAGGUAACGGCUCACCUCGGCGACGAUCCCUAGCGGGUCUGAGAGGAUGACAAGCCACACUGGCACUGAGAACCGGCCCAUACGCCUCAGGGAGGAAGCAGUGGGGAAUUUUGCACAAUGGGCGCAAGCCUGAUGCAGCCAUGCCGCGUGUAGGAAGAAGGCCUUCGGGGUGGAAAGUACUUUCAGCUGUGAGGCGUUACCCGCAGAAGAAGCACAGGCGAACUCCGUGCCAGCAGCCGCGGUAAUAC
rnacentral:rRNA from 1 species